UGGGGAAUAUUGCACAAUGGGCGCAAGCCUGAUGCAGCCAUGCCGCGUGUAUGAAGAAGGCCUUCGGGUUGUAAAGUACUUUCAGCGGGGAGGAAGGGAGUAAAGUUAAUACCUUUGCUCAUUGACGUUACCCGCAGAAGAAGCACCGGCUAACUCCGUGCCAGCAGCCGCGGUAAUACGGAGGGUGCAAGCGUUAAUCGGAAUUACUGGGCGUAAAGCGCACGCAGGCGGUUUGUUAAGUCAGAUGUGAAAUCCCCGGGCUCAACCUGGGAACUGCAUUUGAUACUGGCAAGCUUGAGUCUCGUAGAGGGGGGUAGAAUUCCAGGUGUAGCGGUGAAAUGCGUAGAGAUCUGGAGGAAUACCGGUGGCGAAGG
rnacentral:rRNA from 1 species